GCAAGUCGAACGAGAAAGUACCUUCGGGUACGAGUACAGUGGCGGACGGGUGAGGAACGCGUGGAUAACCUGCCCCUUAGCGGGGAAUAACUAUUCGAAAGAGUAGCUAAUACCGCAUAAGACCACGACUCCUGCGGGAGAUGAGGUUAAAGGCUUCGGCCACUAAGGGAUGGGUCCGCGCCCGAUUAGUUUGUUGGUGGGGUAACGGCCUACCAAGACUACGAUCGGUAGCUGGUCUCAGAGGAUGAUC
rnacentral:rRNA from 1 species